rnacentral:piRNA from 1 species
UGGGUGGGCCUAAACAAUUUGCAACUUAGGU